CAAGAAGAGACCCUAACCGGUCCUCUCAACCCUGCCCAUCGUACCUUUUUUUGUUGUUCCCUCGGCGGUGCUCGCGGGCCCGCCGGCGGGAAGACCAAACAAACCCUUUGCAAACAAGCAUAUCGAAAUCUCUGAUCAAACAUGAAUUGUCA
rnacentral:misc_RNA from 2 species